rnacentral:rRNA from 1 species
GCGUCUGCGAACUAAAGAGGAGCUGUGCUCUUGGAUGAGUUGGGAACGGGAGAGUAACGCGUAGGUAACCUGCCUUGUAGCGGGGGAUAACUAUUGGAAACGAUAGCUAAUACCGCAUAACAAUGGAUGACACAUGUCAUUUAUUUGAAAGGGGCAAUUGCUCCACUACAAGAUGGACCUGCGUUGUAUUAGCUAGUAGGUGAGGUAAUGGCUCACCUAGGCGACGAUACAUAGCCGACCUGAGAGGGUGAUCGGCCACACUGGGACUGAGACACGGCCCAGACUCCUACGGGAGGCAGCAGUAGGGAAUCUUCGGCAAUGGGGGCAACCCUGACCGAGCAACGCCGCGUGAGUGAAGAAGGUUUUCGGAUCGUAAAGCUCUGUUGUAAGUCAAGAACGGGUGUGAGAGUGGAAAGUUCACACUGUGACGGUAGCUUACCAGAAAGGGACGGCUAACUACGUGCCAGCAGCCGCGGUAAUACGUAGGUCCCGAGCGUUGUCCGGAUUUAUUGGGCGUAAAGCGAGCGCAGGCGGUUUGAUAAGUCUGAAGUUAAAGGCUGUGGCUCAACCAUAGUUCGCUUUGGAAACUGUCAAACUUGAGUGCAGAAGGGGAGAGUGGAAUUCCAUGUGUAGCGGUGAAAUGCGUAGAUAUAUGGAGGAACACCGGUGGCGAAAGCGGCUCUCUGGUCUGUAACUGACGCUGAGCUCGAAAGCGUGGGGAGCGAACAGGAUUAGAUACCCUGGUAGUCCACGCCGUAAACGAUGAGUGCUAGGUGUUGGAUCCUUUCCGGGAUUCAGUGCCGCAGCUAACGCAUUAAGCACUCCGCCUGGGGAGUACGACCGCAAGGUUGAAACUCAAGGAAUUGAGGGGCCCGCACAAGCGGUGAGCAUGUGGUUUAAUCGAAGCACGCGAAACCUUACCGGUCUUGACAUCCCGAUGCUAUUUCUAGAGAGAAAGUUACUUCGGACUCGA